GCGGCAAUAGCUCAGUGGUAGAGAGAACCCAGGCUUCGCGCGCGGGGAGGCCCGGGUUCGAUUCCCGGCUGCUCCC
rnacentral:tRNA from 1 species